AACAUGAACUGAUGAAGAUCGAAUCAUCUAUAAUAGAAAACUUUAAAAAAGUAAUAGGUAGUUCACUGAACAUCAAACAAAAUACUAAUAACCCAGAAAUUGAAGUCUUUCUUCCAUCAUCAGCAACAUUCAUCACUCAUCAAAACUCAAUAUCUGCAAGAUAAACAAGGUUGCAUCAUAUAUUGGUCUGACUUCGUUCCAUAUAGGAUGCAUAACCAUUUUUGGAGGAGCAGUUAGGACACAAACCUAGGACUAGUUGUCUACGUUCGUAGCAGCUGCAACAUCAUCUCCGUCCUCUUGCACUUGCUGAUUCGUGCCUUUUCCUUCUGUUAUACAAAGGUACAAACGUAGAAGUAUUGUCAACGGAGAUUAAGAGUUUUAAAAGUUUCAUAUUUAGAUAAGAGAUUCAUAGACAGAUAGUACAAAACUAGAGAUUUAUGUAAUCUGAAGCUACUUCUGAAAUCACUAGUCAGUCAACAGGAUUCGAUCAACAUUACAGAAGACAAGCUGAUUUCAGAAGUAGCUACAGAGUUUAAAUGCAUUUAACAACCUAACAUCAUGCAUAUAACAACCUAACAUCAUGCAUCUAAAAAUGUAACAUUAGACAUCCUAAAAAUCACUUCACUGUCUAACUGAACUACUUAACAUUAUACAUAUACAGAAUCAUAAGCAAUCAGACAAUCACAAUUAAUAUGUAUAGAAAUAUACGUUUACUAAUUAAGCUUACCUCAACAGUCAAAUCACCAAAUUCCUGUCAUGCCUCUAGAGCAAUAGC
rnacentral:lncRNA from 1 species